UCUUCCCAACAUUACUACAAUUAUUAACAACUAAAUCAGUGUAAUUGUACAGUUUCAACUAAAGUGCUCAUCUGUCUUAAUAUCACAACAAUGUGACAAAAAGAGAGAAAAGAAUAGUUUUGUUAAGAUAGUGCAAUUACAUUUAAUUUUAUAAAUAUGGGUGUAAGUAAAUAAUACCAAUUACAUACGGUACCCUAAAGAAGAUCGCUGACGUCGCGGCACGUGUAUGAUCAAUGUGCCGGCUUCGAGGAACCAUUCUGCUGUUACGGCAUUUACCGCAUUUUAUAAAUUAUAAUUCAAUAAAAUAUGUUAGUAUUAUAUUCGUAUCUAGCAUCGAUAACGGAUGUAGUUUUUGUAACCUAAUUAUAAGUUAAUUAAUAAAGUAGUUAAUUAAUUAUUGGUUUUUUUUGGGAGUCCGGGCUGUCGAAUUCGUAAUUGGCGCAGUCGGUAGGAUAGUUUCGGGGCUACUACGAUCGUUAUAAAGAAGAUAUCCGGGGUCUAGAUUCGACACCGCGCGCGGUCGUUCUAGCUGUCGCUCUCAAGCGUUCACUGAAGCAUCAAAGAUCUCUAAGAAGCAGCCGGGGCGUACUCAAACUUCAGUGCAACUCAAAGAAAACCAGGGAAGUCGACGAGUUAUCUUUAUCCAGAUGCGCCCUUCUCCUGGCCAGGGUACGCUGCAUCUCGUGCAUCAUGCAGUGGAGGCUUGCUCGACCUGACGAUGAAGAAGAGUGGUCGGUGCUCCCUGCGCUGCCCCCGCUGUUGCCUCCCGGAGGCGACGCCACCUCAGUGUUGGCUUGCUGAAAGUCUUGCCUGCUGUAACUGCGCGGCUAGCCCCGUGGGGUCAGCGACUGGGGGCUGCGGCUGCGGCGGCGGCGGCGGAGGAGAAGCCACUGCUCCCCCUGGGGGAGGAGGUGGCGGAGGUGGAGCCGGAGCCGCUGCCGGAGGGGGCGCCGGAGGUGCAGGUGGCGGCUGCUGCUGGAGCUGUAGUAAAGAGCUUCAGCGCGUGGUACUGGCUGGGCGGUGGGAUGGGCUGAUGUUGCGCCUGGUGGUUGAUCUGAG